rnacentral:piRNA from 1 species
UUUCACAGGAGUGUCCCAUUUCUAUGG